CUGGUGUGCCGUGCUGCUCCUGCCUUUCAGCUCCGUAUUCCCUGCCUCAAUAGGUUCGACUCCUGCUCGCCAGCCAGGAGAAGCCGAGCCCCGACGCGCUGCUCUUCUUAAAGCGUCAUGGAGCACAAGAGGACUGGCCGGGGGCAUAACUGUAGCGUUUUAAUGGUGGUGAGCAACCCUGCACUGUUUACACCCUAAGUCCUCUGUGGAAGGCAAUAAGCUGAGUGAACUUAAAGCAGCCUGGACCACACCGAGGGGACAGCAGUGGUAAUGGGAGUGUGCAAGAUGAUUCCAGCUACACAUGUGAAGUGGACGUGUCUGGUGAGCCAAGUGGAAUUAUUCUCGUUUGCUUCUUGUUGUUGUUUCAGCUCAAGGCGCAUGGUAAGGAGCUGUUUUGGCUUUGGUGUUGGUGGUGUGGUUGUGGUGUGGUGGGAGAAAGAGUGGAAGUGGAGGGUAAGGUGAAAGAGAAAGAGAGACAGGAGUGAAAGUUAAGGUAAUGUGAGCUUGUCAAGUGUUUAGUGUUUAGAUUGACGGAUACAUAUAUAUUUUUUUUACCGUUGCAUAUGGCAUUUAGUUCACCAUGGUAGCUUUAAAUGUUGUUGUUGUUUUUUUUCUUUAAUAAAAACAAUCUUUAUUAGCCAUGUGUUAAGUGACCUAUAUAUAUGUUCAUUAUUUGUGGCAUUAGAACUACUCCAGCGUUGAACCUAUAAAUUUGUGCUUUAAUUACUAUGAAUAAUUUAUUCUG